rnacentral:rRNA from 1 species
CAGUCGAGGGGUAACGAUGGUGCUUGCACCAGGCGACGACCGGCGCACGGGUGAGUAACGCGUAUGCAACCUACCCAUAACUUGGGGAUAGCCCGGAGAAAUCCGGAUUAAUACCCAAUAAUAUUUUCUUAAGGCAUCUUGAGAAUCUUAAAACUCAGGUGGUUAUGGAUGGGCAUGCGUAGCAUUAGUUUGAUGGUGAGGUAACGGCUCACCAUAUUGACGAUGAUGCUUAGGGGGUCUUAAAGGAUGGUCCCCCACACUGGUACUGAGACACGGACCAGACUCCUACGGGAGGCAGCAGUGAGGAAUAUUGGUCAAUGGAGGAAACUCUGAACCAGCCAUGCCGCGUGCAGGAUGACGGCCCUACGGGUUGUAAACUGCUUUUAUACGGGAAGAAACCUGAUUACGUGUAAUCAGCUGACGGUACCGUAAGAAUAAGCAUCGGCUAACUCCGUGCCAGCAGCCGCGGUAAUACGGAGGAUGCAAGCGUUAUCCGGAUUUAUUAGGUUUAAAGGGUGCGCAGGCGGGAAAAUAAGUCAGAGGUGAAAUCCUACAGCUUAACUGUAGAACUGCCUUUGAUACUGUUUUUCUUGAGUGUAGUUGAGGUUGGCGGAAUGUGUAGUGUAGCGGUGAAAUGCAUAGAUAUUACACAGAACACCUAUUGCGAAGGCAGCUAACUAAACUAUUACUGACGCUCAUGCACGAAAGCGUGGGGAGCGAACAGGAUUAGAUACCCUGGUAGUCCACGCCGUA